rnacentral:lncRNA from 1 species
ACAACUUGAUUAGGAAUCGGAUGAAAAUCAACCACAUUAUCUUGUAUCCCGCCUUCACUUGCACUUGCAUCCGGAUGUUCAGGUUCACCACUGUCUAGAUUCACAGCAAGAGAUCCCCGACUCAAUCUCAACGAAUCUGCACCCUCCGGAGUUACUCCUCGACAUUUCUUAACCUUCACUUUCACUAAAUUUGGGCACCCUUCAGCAAGCGCUUCCAUACCUUGAUCCGAAACAGGACAACUCUUAAUGCAUAGCUUUUUCAGUGCUAUGCAUUUCGCGGCAAUGCACGAUAUUUCGCUAUCACCAACAGUAUCGCUUCCACACAAUGCC